UACGGAAUGUGCAAACGUUAUUCGGAAUCACUGGGCUUAAAGAGUCCGUAGGCGGCAUGUUAGGUGAGGUGUGAAAUCCCCCGGCUCAACCGAGGAAUUGCGCUUCAAACCGGCGUGCUAGAGGAAGAUAGAGGUGGGCGGAACUGAUGGUGGAGCGGUGAAAUGCGUUGAUAUCAUCAGGAACACCAGUGGCGAAGGCGGCUCACUGGCCCGAUACUGACGCUGAGGCACGAAAGCGUGGGGAGCAAACAGG
rnacentral:rRNA from 1 species